ACUAUUUUGGCAGAAAAGUGCCAUGGAUUUAGAAUUCAUAAAUGUAAGUUUAUUCUUACAGAUAGUA
rnacentral:tRNA from 1 species